rnacentral:rRNA from 1 species
UACGAAGGGGGCUAGCGUUGCUCGGAAUUACCGGGCGUAAAGCGCACGUAGGCGGUCUUUUAAGUCGGGGGUGAAAUCCUGGAGCUCAACUCCAGAACUGCCUUCGAUACUGGAAGACUUGAGUCCGGGAGAGGUGAGUGGAACUGCGAGUGUAGAGGUGAAAUUCGUAGAUAUCAUUUGGAACGCCAAUGGUGAAAACAGGUAGCUGGGGCUGUACUGACACUGAGACACGAAAGCCAGGGGAGCAAACGGG